AUGAACGCUGGCGGCGUGCCUAAUACAUGCAAGUCGAGCGAACAGACGAGGAGCUUGCUCCUCUGACGUUAGCGGCGGACGGGUGAGUAACACGUGGAUAACCUACUUAUAAGACUGGGAUAACUUCGGGAAACCGGAGCUAAUACCGGAUAAUAUAUUGAACCGCAUGGUUCAAUAGUGAAAGACGGUUUUGCUGUCACUUAUAGAUGGAUCCGCGCCGCAUUAGCUAGUUGGUAAGGUAACGGCUUACCAAGGCAACGAUGCGUAGCCGACCUGAGAGGGUGAUCGGCCACACUGGAACUGAGUCACGGUCCAGACUCCUACGGGAGGCAGCAGUAGGGAAUCUUCCGCAAUGGGCGAAAGCCUGACGGAGCAACGCCGCGUGAGUGAUGAAGGUCUUCGGAUCGUAAAACUCUGUUAUUAGGGAAGAACAAAUGUGUAAGUAACUAUGCACGUCUUGACGGUACCUAAUCAGAAAGCCACGGCUAACUACGUG
rnacentral:rRNA from 1 species